rnacentral:rRNA from 1 species
UACGUAGGGUGCAAGCGUUAAUCGGAAUUACUGGGCGUAAAGGGCGCGUAGGCGGCUCAUCCAGUCAGAUGUGAAAUUCCUGGGCUUAACCUGGGGGCUGCAUUUGAUACGUGUGGGCUUGAGUGGGGAAGAGGGUCGUGGAAUUCCCAGUGUAGAGGUGAAAUUCGUAGAUAUCGGGAGGAACACCAGUGGCGAAGGCGGCGACCUGGGCCAAUAUUGACGCUGAGGUGCGAAAGCGUGGGGAGCAAACAGG